AUAAAAGGCUAUAUAUAUAUCACCCAUUUUCCCAUCUAACUACUUCAACCAUAUUCUAUUAGUGAUCUCAUUAUUAGCAUCUGGCAGAAAAUAAAUUUAUUUGGCUGAAAAUGGGGAAGAAAGGAAGUGGUAGUUGGUUUUCCACUGUGAAGAAAGUCUUUAUUAAACCUUCUUCUAAGGAUUAUUCACCAGCAGAUCAUAAAAAGAAGGAAAAAUUAGAGAACCAAUGGCAAGAUGAAGCUCCAGAAGUUG